rnacentral:rRNA from 1 species
GAUGAACGCUGGCGGCGUGCUUAACACAUGCAAGUCGAACGGGAAACCUAUUAUUGAAACUUCGGUCGAUUUAAUUUGUUUCUAGUGGCGGACGGGUGAGUAACGCGUGGGUAACCUGCCCUAUACAGGGGGAUAACAACCAGAAAUGGUUGCUAAUACCGCAUAAGCGCACGGGACCGCAUGGUCCAGUGUGAAAAACUCCGGUGGUAUAGGAUGGACCCGCGUUGGAUAGCUAGUUGGUGGGGUAACGGCCCACCAAGGCAACGAUCCAUAGCCGGCCUGAGAGGGUGAACAGCCACAUUGGGACUGAGACACGGCCCAGACUCCUACGGGAGGCAGCAGUGGGGAAUAUUGCACAAUGGGGGAAACCCUGAUGCAGCGACGCCGCGUGAAGGAAGAAGUAUCUCGGUAUGUAAACUUCUAUCAGCAGGGAAGAUAGUGACGGUACCUGACUAAGAAGCCCCGGCUAACUACGUGCCAGCCGCCGCAGUAA